rnacentral:rRNA from 1 species
UACGGAGGGAGCUAGCGUUGUUCGGAAUUACUGGGCGUAAAGCGCGCGUAGGCGGCUUUGUAAGUUAGAGGUGAAAGCCCGGGGCUCAACCCCGGAACAGCCUUUAAGACUGCAUCGCUAGAAUCCGGAAGAGGCGAGUGGAAUUCCCGGUGUAGCGGUGAAAUGCGCAGAUAUCAGGAAGAACACCAACGGCGAAGGCAGCUCGCUGGGACGGUACUGACGCU